AGCGAACGCUGGCGGCAGGCUUAACACAUGCAAGUCGAACGCAUCACUUCGGUGGUGAGUGGCAGACGGGUGAGUAACACGGGGGAACGUACCCUUCGAUCUGGGAUAACUUCGGGAAACUGGAGCUAAUACCGGAUACGCCCUUUUGGGGAAAGGUUUACUGUCGAAGGAUCGGCCCGCGUCUGAUUAGCUAGUUGGUGGGGUAACGGCCUACCAAGGCGACGAUCAGUAGCUGGUCUGAGAGGAUGAUCCGCCACACUGGGACUGGGACACGGCCCAGACUCCUACGGGAGGCAGCAGUGGGGAAUAUUGGACAAUGGGCGCAAGCCUGAUCCAGCCAUGCCGCGUGAGUGAUGAAGGCCUUAGGGUUGUAAAGCUCUUUUGUCCGGGACGAUAAUGACGGUACCGGAAGAAUAAGCCCCGGCUAACUUCGUG
rnacentral:rRNA from 1 species